GCACUGAAAGGAUAUUAAUUCUAUUUUUAUUUAUAUUUUAGUAAGUACUUUUAAGUCCGCCUUUUAAGAAAUUUUAAAUGUCUUAUCCGAAAAAAAAAGUUAUUGUAACUCGCCUUAAUUACUUACCCAUUGGCUGCACUUUGAUUUGUAUUUACCUUAUGAUAAAGUAGUAGAAUUUACCUAAAGGUAAAUUCUGGACAACGGUAUACAAGCUUUAAAAGUAAGUAGCAUUUACUUGGUGGUUGUCAAUUACAUGGUAAGUUCCCCUAAAAUACUUCAUUCAGCCGCCAUAAUAUUUAAGUUUGGACCACGUAUUAAGUAUUAAUCCUUGUAUUAUUAAUUUUAAUCUCCAUAUAAUUGGGUAUCUAAUCCAGGUUUAUCUUUGGGAGUUUGGUAUAUACACGGUAUAUGUUAACUAUCAAUAUUAAUAGUAUUUCACCACACAUUAAAUUUUUUAUAUAAAAAAGCUAAUAAACAAUAACUAUAAAUUUAUCUAUUAGGUUUGACCGCGGUUGCUGGCACCUAAUAAACCUAGACUAAAAAAUUAGCUAAAUCUAAAUUUCUUUAAUUUAUUAAUAUUUUUAACUGAGAAAAUUGUUUAAAGCUCAUAUUAAACUAGAUUGUACAUUUAUAGUUUCAUCAUACUAAAGUGAUUAUUCUAAGGGGGUAUAAAACCAUUUUAGA
rnacentral:rRNA from 1 species